GAUGAACGCUGGCGGCGUGCCUAAUACAUGCAAGUCGAGCGAACAGACGAGGAGCUUGCUCCUCUGACGUUAGCGGCGGACGGGUGAGUAACACGUGGAUAACCUACCUAUAAGACUGGGAUAACUUCGGGAAACCGGAGCUAAUACCGGAUAAUAUAUUGAACCGCAUGGUUCAAUAGUGAAAGACGGUUUUGCUGUCACUUAUAGAUGGAUCCGCGCCGCAUUAGCUAGUUGGUAAGGUAACGGCUUACCAAGGCAACGAUGCGUAGCCGACCUGAGAGGGUGAUCGGCCACACUGGAACUGAGACACGGUCCAGACUCCUACGGGAGGCAGCAGUAGGGAAUCUUCCGCAAUGGGCGAAAGCCUGACGGAGCAACGCCGCGUGAGUGAUGAAGGUCUUCGGACCGUAAAACUCUGUUAUUAGGGAAGAACAAACGUGUAAGUAACUGUGCACGUCUUGACGGUACCUAAUCAGAAAGCCACGGCUAACUACGUG
rnacentral:rRNA from 1 species